rnacentral:rRNA from 1 species
GGGGAAUUUUGGACAAUGGGCGCAAGCCUGAUCCAGCCAUGCCGCGUGCGGGAAGAAGGCCUUCGGGUUGUAAACCGCUUUCGGACGGAAAGAAAUCGCUUGGGUUAAUACCCUGAGUGGAUGACGGUACCGUAAGAAUAAGCACCGGCUAACUACGUGCCAGCAGCCGCGGUAAUACGUAGGGUGCGAGCGUUAAUCGGAAUUACUGGGCGUAAAGCGUGCGCAGGCGGAUUGUUAAGCAAGAUGUGAAAUCCCCGGGCUUAACCUGGGAAUUGCAUUUUGAACUGGCAGUCUGGAGUGCGGCAGAGGGGGGUGGAAUUCCACGUGUAGCAGUGAAAUGCGUAGAGAUGUGGAGGAACACCGAUGGCGAAGGCAGCCCCCUGGGCCUGCACUGACGCUCAUGCACGAAAGCGUGGGGAGCAAAC